rnacentral:rRNA from 1 species
GACGAACGCUGGCGGCGUGCUUAACACAUGCAAGUCGAACGGAAAGGCCCUGCUUUUGUGGGGUUCUCGAGUGGCGAACGGGUGAGUAACACGUGAGUAACCUGCCCUUGACUUUGGGAUAACUUCAGGAAACUGGGGCUAAUACCGGAUAGGAGCUCCUGCUGCAUGGUGGGGGUUGGAAAGUUUCGGCGGUUGGGGAUGGACUCGCGGCUUAUCAGCUUGUUGGUGGGGUAGUGGCUUACCAAGGCUUUGACGGGUAGCCGGCCUGAGAGGGUGACCGGCCACAUUGGGACUGAGAGACGGCCCAGACGCCUACGGGAGGCAGCAGUGGGGAAUAUUGCACAAUGGGCGGAAGCCUGAUGCAGAAACGCCGCGUGCGGGAUGACGGCCUUCGGGUGGUAAACCGAUUUCGCAUGUGACGAAGCGUGAGUGACGGUAAUGGGUAAAGAAGCACCGGCUAACUACGUG